UACAGAGGGUGCGAGCGUUAAUCGGAAUUACUGGGCGUAAAGCGCGCGUAGGCGGUUUGUUAAGUCGGAUGUGAAAUCCCAGGGCUCAACCUUGGAAUUGCACCCGAUACUGGCAGGCUAGAGUACGGUAGAGGGGUGUGGAAUUUCCUGUGUAGCGGUGAAAUGCGUAGAUAUAGGAAGGAACAUCAGUGGCGAAGGCGACACCCUGGACCGAUACUGACGCUGAGGUGCGAAAGCGUGGGGAGCAAACAGG
rnacentral:misc_RNA from 1 species